AACGAACGCUGGCGGCAGGCCUAACACAUGCAAGUCGAACGCACCGCAAGGUGAGUGGCGCACGGGUGAGUAACACGUGGGAAUGUACCCUUUGGUUCGGAAUAACGUUUGGAAACGGACGCUAAUACCGGAUGAGCCCUGUGGGGGAAAGAUUUAUCGCCAAAGGAGCAGCCCGCGUCUGAUUAGCUAGUUGGUGGGGUAAAGGCCUACCAAGGCGACGAUCAGUAGCUGGUCUGAGAGGAUGAUCAGCCACACUGGGACUGAGACACGGCCCAGACUCCUACGGGAGGCAGCAGUGGGGAAUAUUGGACAAUGGGCGGAAGCCUGAUCCAGCCAUGCCGCGUGAGUGAUGAAGGCCUUCGGGUUGUAAAGCUCUUUCGCACGCGACGAUGAUGACGGUAGCGUGAGAAGAAGCCCCGGCUAACUUCGUGCCAGCCGCCGCGGUAAAAC
rnacentral:rRNA from 1 species